UACAUAGGUCCCAAGCGUUGUUCGGAUUCACUGGGCGUAAAGGGUGCGUAGGCGGUCGGGUAAGUCUGAUGUGAAAUCUCACAGCUUAACUGUGAAACUGCAUUGGAUACUAUCCGGCUAGAGGAAUGGAGGGGAGACUGGAAUACUUGGUGUAGCAGUGAAAUGCGUAGAUAUCAAGUGGAACACCAGUGGCGAAGGCGAGUCUCUGGACAUUUUCUGACGCUGAGGCACGAAAGCCAGGGGAGCAAACGGG
rnacentral:rRNA from 1 species